GUACAUAUUAUAUUUACAGUUUUACAUUUACAGUUUUGCACAUCCUCUAUAUCUAAUAGAGGUGGAGAAACAUCGAUGACAUCGAUGUUUUCGAAACAUCGAUGCUUGGCGGGGCAACAUCGAUGUUUUUCCAUCUCUAGGGCACAUAGAGGAAGACAUUUGAAUUUUAUACUUGUUGGUGGUGUUGACGUGAGUGUGGUGGUACUUAAACAUGGACAGGUUUUUGAACCACCUUUAAUUUCACUACGAAAAACGAAGACACACUGAAGCAAAACCCGGCUGCUUUGACUGCCGAACUGACCUUCUUUUAUUCAUACCCUGCAAUACCGAUUGUCAUCAAUAGGCCACUGUCAUGAACAUGUCAUCAAC